UUUCUCUAACCUUUGGCUAUUAUACUCCACUGAUAACUUUUUGUUCUAAAAACUCUUUUCCUUUUUAAAAACAACAGAACCUUUUCAGUAUACUGCAUGGGAACUAGUUGCUGAAGAUUAUGAUGAAGAAGCAGAAGACUUUCAGGCCGAGACAGAAGUGGACGAGGAGCAGGAGGAAGAGGAGGAGGAGGAGGAGGAGGGUGAAGAAAAGAUGAGAGAAAAAAAGAGGCACCUGGGAGACACAAAGCACUUCUGCCCAGUAGUUCUCAAAGAAAACUUCAUCCUCCAGCCAGGCAACUUGGAAGAGGCUGUGAAGUACCGAGAAAAUAUAUACUAC
rnacentral:lncRNA from 1 species